rnacentral:rRNA from 1 species
CUGGAGUUACUAGUAAUCGCAGAUCAGAAUGCUGCGGUGAAUGCGUUCCCGGGUCUUGUACACACCGCCCGUCACACCACGGGAGUUGGAGACGCCCGAAGCCGAUUAUCUAACCUUUUGGAAGAAGUCGUCGAAGGUGGAAUCAAUAACUGGGGUGAAGUCGUAACAAGGUAGCCGUAUCGGAAGGUGCGGCUGGAUCACCUCCUUUCUAAGGCGAAUUG